UACGUAGGGACCAAGCGUUGUUCGGAUUUACUGGGCGUAAAGGGCGCGUAGGCGGCAUGACAAGUCACUUGUGAAAUCUCCGGGCUUAACUCGGAACGGCCAAGUGAUACUGUCAAGCUAGAGUGCAGAAAGGGCAAUCGGAAUUCCUGGUGUAGCGGUGAAAUGCGUAGAGAUCAGGAAGAACACCAGUGGCGAAGGCGCUCUGCUAGGCCGUAACUGACACUGAGGGACGAAAGCUAGGGGAGCGAAUGGG
rnacentral:rRNA from 1 species